CGGUGGCGAAAGCAAGAAGGAUACACCUGUUCCCAUGCCGAACACAGAAGUUAAGCUUCUUAACGCCGAAAGUAGUUGGU
rnacentral:rRNA from 1 species